CUUUUGAAGUUGUUGUUUAACUAUUUUGUGUUAAUUGUUGCUAUUGUAGGUGCUCAUGUUGGGAAUGCACAAGACUUACCACCAUGCUGCGCGCAUCCUGGUCUUGAAUGUCAACCAAUUCAUUGUCCUAAACUCCCAUGUUGCAAACCUUCUACGCCUCCUAAUAGUGAUACAAAGCUUUGAAAUUUCUCAUAUCGUUUUUCCUACUGUUAAACCAAUCAAUUGUAUUUGAGAUAACUUUAUGAGUUUUAGUUAAUUAUUAAUAAGAUUGGUUAAUAAAUUAUGUUCUCUUAUUCUCUACUAAUGUUUGCCAAGGAAUUAACUCUUUAUUGAGUAUAAUUAUAUCUUCAUUAUAAUGGAUUCAUAUAUGUUAUGUUGAACUGCUUGUCGAUUACAUCAAUCAUCAAUUGAGUAAAACUAAAAAAUUGUUUUUAAAGAAACUGUUUAACGAAAAAAUAGUUUAACACGUAAUGAUUUAAAUAAAAAUAAUUUUUUAAACAAUUUAAGAAAUGGAAAAAAAACAUUUCCUAAAACUUGAAGUUAUUAAAAUAUUAUAAUGUUUCAUAAAAAAAUGUAUUUUCAUCUUUUUUUUUGGUAUCGAGGACAAAUAUGUAGCAUUGAGCUAAAUACAUUUUUUUACCAGCCAAUAUUAAUCUUCAUAUCUUAACAAAACUGAUUUUACAUAUAAUCAUAUAAAAUUUAUAUAUACAGUUGUUGUAAUUUAUUAAAUGUUAAAAUCUAAACAGUAGUAAUAAACUAUUUAAAUUAACCGCUUAUAUUAUUUUGUCUAAUAUUAUUUUUUCCUUUAUUUUUUAUUAUUAAAUUUUAAGUAGAAACCAAAUCUUUAAAUACAUACAUUUAAAAUUUAAAUUUAAAUAAUUGAUUAUAAAUUAUUUAGGCCUUUGGGUAUAUAAUAUAAAAUUAGUUAUAGAUAAACAUAGGGAACGCACACUUAUGAUAUCAUUUAAAUAAUGUUUUGAAUGUUUAUAAAAAUAUAUUUUGAAUUAUAUUUUGAUAAACUUGUAGAAUACUUACUCAUUGUUUAAAUUUAUAAAAAAAAAAUAUUUGUCGAAGGAAUAAUAAACAUAAUGUUAAAAUAUCGAUGAUAAUAAUAAACUAGAGUAUAUAUUUGGAUCAAAAACAUUCCCCCGUGUGGGUUUUCUAAUUAAGAUGAGGAUAAAUUUUUUUCGUAUAAGAAUAACAUAAAAAAAUGACUUAAAAUCAAAAAUUAGCUUUUCCUUUGAUGUAUGAACAAUAGUUUUAGAUAUACAACUAUGAAUUUUAAACUUAUGGAUUACGGAGCUCCCUGUCUAGAAAUACAACAUAUACCACGAUGUUUCAUAAGUAAACCUCUUAUUAAUUUAACAUGAAAAACAUGUGAUCCAUAUCUAUACUAGUAGACAGUUUGGUUCCUCAUUUUUAGGGUUACACAAAAUUGUUUUUGAAUAUUUAUAAAAUAUUAACUAAAAGAAAAUAAAAGAUACUAGUUUUCCAAUAAUAAGGUGUUUGUUUUAUCGAUAUGAAAGAACACUUUUAACGGGCUUCUUAAUUUUCUCUGACUAUUAACUAGAAAUUGGUCAAUUUGGUUAAGAACAUAAGUUUUGAAGAAUUUCUUAAAGGUUUUAAUUGAUUUUGAUAAUUUUGACAGUAAAUAUGUAAUAUGUUAAGAUGAAUACAAAAUAGAAUUAAUAAUAUUGAAUAAGACAGGGUUUCAGGUUUUAAAAAGAUUAAANAUUUAUUAAUAAGAUUGGUUAAUAAAUUAUGGUCUCUUAUUCUCUACUAAUGUUUGCCAAGGAAUUAAACUCUUUAUUGAGUAUAAUUAUAUCUUCAUUAUAAUGGAUUCAUAUAUGUUAUGUUGAAAUGCUUGUCGAUUACAUCAAUCAUCAAUUGAGUAAAACAAAAAAAUUGUUUUUAAAGAAACUGUUUUAACGAUAAAAUAGUUUACCACGUAAUGAUUUAAAUAAAAAUAAUUUUUUAAACAAUUUAAGAAUUGGAAAAAAAACAUUUCCUAAAACUUGAAGUUAUUAAAAUAUUAUAAUGUUUCAUAAAAAAAUGUAUUUGGUAUCGAGGACAAAUACGUAGCAUUGAGCUAAAUACAUUUUUUUACCAACCAAUAUUAAUCUUCAUAUCUUAACAAAACUGAUUUUACAUAUAAUCAUAUAAAAUUUAUAUAUACAGUUGUUGUAAUUUAUUAAAUGUUAAAAUCUAAACGGUAGUAAUAAACUAUUUAAAUUAAACGCUUAUAUUAUUUUGUCUAAUAUAAUUUUUUCCCUUUAUUUUUUAUUAUUAAAUUUUAAGUAGAAACCAAAUCUUUANAAAAAGAGAGAGAUACUUCUACUGUUAAACAAUCAAUUUGUAUUGAAGAUAACUUUACAUGAGUUUUAUUAUUAUUAAUAAGAUUGGUAUAUAAAUUAUGGUCUCUUAUUCUCUUACUAAGUUUGCCAAGGAAUUAAACUCUUAUUGAAGUAUAUUAUAUCUUUCAUUAUAUGGAUUCAUCUUGUUAAGUUGAACUGCUUGUCGAUUACAUCAUAUCAAUUGAGUAAACUAAAAAUUGUUUUAAGAAACUGUUUUAACGUAAAACUAGUUUACCAGUAAUGAUUUAAAUAAAAUAAUUUUUAAUCAUUUAAGAUUGGAAAAAAAACAUUUCCUAAAACUUAGUUAUUAAAAUAUUAAUGUUCAUAAAAAAUGUAUUUUCAUCUUUUUAUUUGGUAUCGAGGACAAAUACGUAGCAUUGAGCUAAAUACAUUUUUUACCAACCAAUAUUAAUCUUCAUAUCUUAACAAACUGAUUUACAUAUAAUUAUAUAUACAGUUGUUGUAAUUUAUUAAAUGUUAAAAUCUAAACAGUAGUAUAAACUAUUUAAAUUAAACGCUUAUAUUAUUUGUCUAAUAUAAUUUUUCCCUUAUUUUUAUUAUUAAUUUUAAGUAGAAACCAAUCUUUAAAUACAUAUAUUUAAAUUUAAUUUAAAUAAUUGAUUAUAAAUUAUUUAGCCUUUGUUAUAAUAUAAAUUAGUUAUAGAUAAACAUAGGGAACGCACACUUAUGAUAUCAUUUAUUAAUGUUUGAAUGUUAAAAAUAUAUUUGAAUUAUAUUUGAUAAACUUGUAGAAUACUUACUCAUUGUUUAAAUUUAUAAAAAAAAAUAUUUGUCGAAGGAAUAAUAAACAUAAUGUUAAAUAUCGAUGAUAUAAUAAACUAGAGUAUAUAUUUGGAUCAAAACAUUCCCCGUGUGGGUUUUCUAAUUAAGAUGAGGAUAAAUUUUUUUCGUAUAAGAAUAACAUAAAAAAUGACUUAAAAUCAAAAUUAGCUUUCUUUGAUGUAUGAACAAUGUUUUAGAAUAUACAUAUGAAUUUAAACUUAGGAUUACGGAGCUCCCUGUCUAGAAAUACACAAUAUACCACGAUGUUUCAUAAGUAAACCUCUUAUUAAUUUAACAUGAAAACAUGUGAUCCAUAUCUAUACUAGUAGACAGUUUGGUUCCUCAUUUUAGGGUUACACAAAAUUGUUUUUGAAUAUUUAUAAAAUAUAACUAAAAGAAAUAAAAGAUCUAGUUUUCCAAUAAUAAGGUAUUUGUUUUAUCGAUAUGAAAGACACUUUUAACGGGCUUCUUAAUUUUCUCUGACUAUUAACUAGAAAUUGGUCAUUUGGUUAAGAACAUAAGUUUUGAAGAAUUUCUUAAGGUUUUAAUUGAUUUUGAUAAUUUUGACAGUAAAUAUGUAAUAUGUUAAGAUGAAUACAAAAUAGAAUUAAUAAUAUUGAAUAAGACAGGGUUUCAGGUUUUAAAAGAUUAAACUUUCUCACAAUUAUGUUAUCAACCAUUAAAUAAAUAGAUGUCUUUUUUUUCUUCAUAUUUUAAAGUAAAUUACUUUUUCGAAGACACUAUGAUUUAUUUUAGUGAGGGCGUAAUUUCUCUGAUACAAACUAAUUUUAAUUGACUUUUAAUAUAUAGUAAAAAAAUUUAUAUAAUUAUACACCAUAAAUUUUUUGUUAAAUACAAAAUAUCUAUCAAAUAGUGAAAUUGUUUGAAUAGGCGAAAAAAACAUAGAUAAUAGUUAGUCAAGAAAAAAAGUGAAGUCAAUGGAAAAAAAAGUUAGUCAUUGUUACAGAAAUAUAUUGUUAAAAAUUAAUUUUAGUAAGUCUAAAUGCAUAUAUAUUUAAAAAUUGAAAUUCUAGAACGCUCUAUUUUAUUUCCUAUAAAUAAAAAAAAUGUACAUAUUUUAUUCCAAAUAAAACUCAAUAUCAGAUAUCCAUUUUAUUGUCUUUGAAAACUAAGUUUUGUUAUAAGGAAUCUCUUUUGAAGUUGUUGUUUAAGUAUUUUGUGUUAAUUGUUGCUAUUGUAGGUGCUCAUGUUGGGAAUGCACAAACUUACCACCAUGCUGCGCACAUCCUGGUUUGAUAUGUCAACCAAUUCAUUGUCCUAAACUCCCAUGUUGCAAACCUUUACACCUCCUAAUAGUGAUACAAAGCUUUGAAAUUUCUCAUUUCGUUUAUUCCUACUGUUAAACCAAUCAUUUGUAUUUGAGAUAACUUUACAUGAGUUUUAGUUAAUUUAUUAAUAAGAUUGGUUAAUAAAUUAUGGUCUCUUAUUCCUCACUAAUGUUUGCCAAGGAAUUAAACUCUUUAUUGAGUAAUAAUUAUAUCUUCAUUAUAAUGGAUUCAUAUAUGUUAUGUUGAACUGCUUGUCGAUUACAUCAAUCAUCAAUUGAGUAAAACUAAAAAUUAUUUUUAAAGUAACUGUUUUAACGAUAAAAUAGUUUACCAUGUAAUGAUUUAAAUAAAAAUAAUUUUUUAAACAAUUUAAGAAUUGGAAAAAAACAUUUCCUAAAACUUGAAGUUAUUAAAAUAUAUAUUGUUUCAUAAAAAAUGUAUUUUCAUCUUUUUUUUUUGGUAUCGAGGACAAUACGUAGCAUUGAGCUAAAUACAUUUUUUACCAACCAAUAUUAAUCUUCAUAUCUUAACAAAACUGAUUUUACAUAUAAUCAUAUAAAAUUUAUAUAUACAGUUGUUGUAAUUUAUUAAAUGUUAAAAUCUAAAUAGUAGUAAUAAAAUAUUUAAAUUAAACGCUUAUAUUAUUUUGUCUAAUAUAAUUUUUCCCUUUAUUUUAUUAUUAAAUUUUAAGUAGAAACCAAAUCUUUAAAUACAUAUAUUUAAAAUUUAAAUUUAAAUAAUUGAUUAUAAUUAUUUAGGCCUUUGUGUAUAUAAUAUAAAUUGUUAUAGAUAAACAUAGGGAACGCACACUUAUGAUAUCAUUUAAAUAAUGUUUUGAAUGUUUAUAAAAAUAUAUUUUGAAUUAUAUUUUGAUAAACUUGUAGAAUACUUACUCAUUGUUUAAAUUUAUAAAAAAAAAAAUUAUUUGUCGAAGGAAUAAUAAACAUAAUGUUAAAAUAUUGAUGAUAAUAAUAAACUAGAGUAUAUAUUUGGAUCAAAAACAUUCCCUACAAGAAUAACAUAAGUUUCUUUGACUAUUAACUAGAAUUUGGUGAAUUUGGUUAGGAACAUAAGUUUUGAAGAAUUUCUUAAAGGUUUUAAUUGAUUUUUAUAAUUUUGACAGUAAAUAUGUAAUAUGUUAAGAUGAAUACAAAAUAGAAUUAAUAAUAUUGAAUAAGACAGGGUUUCAGGUUUUAAAAAGAUUAAACUUUAUCACAAUUAUGCUUAUCAUCCAUUAAAAUAAUUAGAUGUCUUUUUUUUCUUCAUAUUUUAAAGUAAAUUACUUUUUUCUAAGACACUAUUGAUUUAUUUUAGUAAGGGCGUAGUUUGUCUAACACAAACUAAUUUUAAUUGACUUUUAAUAUAUAGAUAAUUUUUUUUUUAAUUAAUACACCAUAUAAAUUUAUUUUUAUUAUAAAAAAAAAUCUAUCCAAUACCAAAUAUCUAACAAAUAGUGAAAUUGUUUGAAUAGGCGAAAAAAUUGAAAGAAUAUAUUAGUUAAAAAUUAAUUUUAGUAAAUUCUAAAUGCAUAUAUAUUUUAAAAAUUGAAAUUCUAGAGCUCUCUAUUUUAUUUCCUUUAAAUAAAUAAAAAAUGUACACAUUUUUUUUCCAAAUAAAACUCAAUAUCAGAUAUCCAUUUUAUUUGUCUUUGCAAACUAAGUUUUGUUAUAAUGGAAUCUCUUUUGAAGUUGUUGUUUAAGUAUUUUGUGUUAAUUGUUGCUAUUGUAGGUGCUCAUGUUGGGAAUGCACAAGAUUUACCACCAUGUUGCCCGCAUCCUAACGUUGAAUAUCAACCAAUUCAUUGUCCUUAACUCCCAUGUUGCAAACCUCCUACACCUCCUAAUAGUGAUACAAAGCUUUGAAAUUUUUCAUAUUGUCUAUUCCUAUUGUUAAACCAAUCAAUUUGUAUUUGAGAUAACUUUAC
rnacentral:lncRNA from 1 species